rnacentral:rRNA from 1 species
AUGGCCCAGCCGGCGGUACGCGGGGAGCACGGCGACGUGGACGGCCGUCGCACCCACUUCCUCGUGGCGGCGUAUGGCAUCCAGGGCCACCUAAACCCGGCGCGCGCCCUGGCCCGCCGUCUCGCCGCCAUCGACGGCGUCACGGCCACCCUCUCGGUGCCCCUCUUCGGCCACCGCCGCAUGUUCCCUUCCGCCUCUCCCGACGACCAGGAGGUCAGCGACGGCGUCAUCUCCUACGCCCCCUUCUCCGACGGCCAAGACGACGGCAGCUGGCCCACGGGCACGGGCGACGAAAUGGCGCGCCGCCGCAGAGCGUCCUGCGACAGCCUCUCCACCGUGGUACGCCGCCUCGCCUCCGCCGGCCGCCCGGUCACGUGCGUUGUGUGCACGCUCAACAUGCCGACGGUGGUCCAGGUCGCGCGCGCGCACGGCCUGCCGCUCGCCGUAUACUGGAUCCAGCCGGCCACGGCGCUCGUCGCCUACUACCACUACUUCCACGGGCAUGGCGAGGGCGGCAUCGCCGUCCACGCCGCUGACCCGGCGUACGAGGCCACCCUGCCGGGCCUCCGCCGGCCUAUGAGGAUGGGACGCGACAUGCCGUCUUUCUUGGCUGACGACGCCACGGGCACGGGGGACGAGCUUUCCCAGAUGAUCGUUCGAGGUUUCCGCGAGAUGUUCGAGCAGAUGGACGACGAGGAGGUCAUCAUGAAGCCGUGCAUGGUGCUGGCGAACACGUUCGAAGCCCUGGAAGAGACGGCGCUGGAGGCGAUCAGGCCGUACCUGGGCGACGUCUUCGCCAUCGGCGCCCCCGUUGUUCCUCUUGCAGGAGCCGGGGAAGAUCAGAGCAUUCAUCUGUUCGCGCAGGACGAGGAGAAGAGGUACAUGGCGUGGCUGGACUCGCAGCCACCCAAGUCGGUGGUGUACGUGUCGUGGGGGAGCCUGCUGACGUAUAGCGAGCGGCAGGCGGAGGAGAUCCUGCGAGGCAUACGGCGCCUCGGUCGGCCGUAUCUGUGGGUGGUGAGGCGGGAGGGACGCUCGCCGGAGGUGGACCGCCUCCUCCUGGAAACGGCGGCGGCCGUGCCAGAGGGGAUGGUGGUGGAGUGGUGCGACCAAGUGCGAGUGCUGUCUCACCCGUCGGUGGCGUGCUUCGUGACGCACUGCGGGUGGAACUCGACCCUGGAGGCAGUGGCGUGCGGCAUGCCGGCCGUGGCGGCGCCGAGCUGGUCGGACCAGCCGGUGAAUGCGCACCUGCUGGCGGAGGAAUGGGGCGUGGCCGUCCGGGCGGAGCGCGAGGCCGACGGGGUGCUGACGGGCGCGGAGCUGGCGAGGUGCGUCGAGCUGGCUGUUGGCAGCGGCGACAUGGCCGCUGCGAUAGCGGCGAACUCGAGGGCUUGGAAGGAGAGGGCAAGGGAGGCGGUAGCCGCCGGUGGGCCGUCCGAGAGAAGCCUCCGGAGCUUUGUCAAGAGAGUGCAAGAAGUGGAGUUUCUAAGGAGCAACUAA